rnacentral:rRNA from 1 species
AACGUAGGCAACCUGCCCAUGUGUCCGGGAUAACUGCUGGAAACGGUAGCUAAAACCGGAUAGGUAUACAGAGCGCAUGCUCAGUAUAUUAAAGCGCCCUUCAAGGCGUGAACAUGGAUGGACCUGCGGCGCAUUAGCUAGUUGGUGAGGUAACGGCCCACCAAGGCGAUGAUGCGUAGCCGGCCUGAGAGGGUAAACGGCCACAUUGGGACUGAGACACGGCCCAA